rnacentral:rRNA from 1 species
CCUACGGGAGGCAGCAGUGGGGGAUAUUGCACAAUGGGGGAAACCCUGAUGCAGCGACGCCGCGUGUGGGAAGACGGUCCUCUGGUUUGUAAACCACUGUCCCCAGGGACGAAGAUGACGGUACCUGACUAAGAAGCCCCGGCUAACUACGUGCCAGCAGCCGCGGUAAUACGUAGGGGGCAAGCGUUAUCCGGAUUUACUGGGUGUAAAGGGAGCGUAGACGGUUAUGGAAGUCUGAAGUGAAAGCCCAAGGCUCAACCAUGGGACUGCUUUGGAAACUGUAAAACUGGAGUGCAGGAGAGGUAAGCGGAAUUCCUAGUGUAGCGGUGAAAUGCGUAGAUAUUAGGAGGAACACCAGUGGCGAAGGCGGCUUACUGGACUGUAACUGACGUUGAGGCUCGAAGGCGUGGGGAGCAAACAGGAUUAGAUACCCGGGUAGUC